GCGCCCGUAGCUCAGCUGGAUAGAGCGACGGCCUUCUAAGCCGUUGGUCGGCAGUUCGAAUCUGCCCGGGCGUG
rnacentral:tRNA from 1 species